rnacentral:rRNA from 1 species
UACGAAGGGGGCUAGCGUUGCUCGGAAUCACUGGGCGUAAAGGGCGCGUAGGCGGCCUGAUCAGUCGGGGGUGAAAGCCUGUGGCUCAACCACAGAAUGGCCUUCGAUACUGUCGGGCUUGAGACCGGAAGAGGUAAGUGGAACUGCGAGUGUAGAGGUGAAAUUCGUAGAUAUUCGCAAGAACACCAGUGGCGAAGGCGGCUCACUGGCCCGUAACUGACGCUGAGGCACGAAAGCGUGGGGAGCAAACAGG